rnacentral:rRNA from 1 species
UACGUAGGGGGCGAGCGUUGUCCGGAUUUAUUGGGCGUAAAGAGCUCGUAGGCGGUUCGGUAAGUCGGAUGUGAAAUCUCCACGCUCAACGUGGAGGGGCCAUUCGAUACUGCCGUGACUCGAGUCCGGUAGGGGAGUGUGGAAUUCCUGGUGUAGCGGUGAAAUGCGCAGAUAUCAGGAGGAACACCAGCGGCGAAGGCGGCGCUCUGGGCCGGUACUGACACUGAGGAGCGAAAGCGUGGGUAGCAAACAGG